rnacentral:rRNA from 1 species
AUUGAACGCUGGCGGCAGGCCUAACACAUGCAAGUCGAACGAGUGGCGGACGGGUGAGUAAUGUCUGGGAAACUGCCCGAUGGAGGGGGAUAACUACUGGAAACUGUAGCUAAUACCGCCUACCAUCGGAUGUGCCCAGAUUGGAUUAGCUAGUAGGUGGGGUAACGGCUCACCUAGGCGACGAUCCCUAGCUGGGCUGAGAGGAUGACCAGCAACACGGGAAAGUAGACACGGUCCAGACUCCUACGGGAGGAAGCAGUGGGGAAUAUUGCACAAUGGGCGAAAGCCUGAUGCAGCCAUGCCGCGUGUAUGAAGAAGGCCUUCGGGUUGUAAAGUACUUUAAGCGAGGAGGCGUUACUCGCAGAAGAAGCACCGGCUAACUCCGUGCCAGCAGCCGCGGUAAUUC